rnacentral:tRNA from 1 species
AAUUAUAUAAGUUAUAUAAACUAAUGACCUUCAAAGCCAUAAAAAGAUUAAAAAAUCUUAUAAUUG